AUUGAACGCUGGCGGCAGGCCUAACACAUGCAAGUCGAACGGUAACAGAAAGCAGCUUGCUGCUUUGCUGACGAGUGGCGGACGGGUGAGUAAUGUCUGGGAAACUUCCUGAUGGAGGGGGAUAACUACUGGAAACGGUAGCUAAUACCGCAUAACGUCGCAAGACCAAAGAGGGGGACCUUCGGGCCUCUUGCCAUCGGAUGUGCCCAGAUGGGAUUAGCUAGUAGGUGGGGUAACGGCUCACCUAGGCGACGAUCCCUAGCUGGUCUGAGAGGAUGACCAGCCACACUGGAACUGAGACACGGUCCAGACUCCUACGGGAGGCAGCAGUGGGGAAUAUUGCACAAUGGGCGCAAGCCUGAUGCAGCCAUGCCGCGUGUAUGAAGAAGGCCUUCGGGUUGUAAAGUACUUUCAGCGGGGAGGAAGGGAGUAAAGUUAAUACCUUUGCUCAUUGACGUUACCCGCAGAAGAAGCACCGGCUAACUCCGUG
rnacentral:rRNA from 1 species